AGAGUUUGAUCAUGGCUCAGGACGAACGCUGGCGGCGUGCUUAACACAUGCAAGUCGAACGGAAAGGCCCCAGCUUGCUGGGGUACUCGAGUGGCGAACGGGUGAGUAACACGUGGGUGAUCUGCCCUGCACUUCGGGAUAAGCCUGGGAAACUGGGUCUAAUACCGGAUAGGACCAUCGUUUAGUGUCGGUGGUGGAAAGUUUUUCGGUGCAGGAUGAGCCCGCGGCCUAUCAGCUUGUUGGUGGGGUAAUGGCCUACCAAGGCGUCGACGGGUAGCCGGCCUGAGAGGGUGGACGGCCACAUUGGGACUGAGACACGGCCCAGACUCCUACGGGAGGCAGCAGUGGGGAAUAUUGCACAAUGGGCGCAAGCCUGAUGCAGCGACGCCGCGUGGGGGAUGACGGCCUUCGGGUUGUAAACUCCUUUCAACCAUGACGAAGCUUUUUGUGACGGUAGUGGUAGAAGAAGCACCGGCUAACUACGUGCCAGCAGCCGCGGUAAUACGUAGGGUGCGAGCGUUGUCCGGAAUUACUGGGCGUAAAGAGCUCGUAGGUGGUUUGUCGCGUCGUCUGUGAAAUUCCGGGGCUUAACUCCGGGCGUGCAGGCGAUACGGGCAUAACUUGAGUACUGUAGGGGAGACUGGAAUUCCUGGUGUAGCGGUGAAAUGCGCAGAUAUCAGGAGGAACACCGAUGGCGAAGGCAGGUCUCUGGGCAGUUACUGACGCUGAGGAGCGAAAGCAUGGGUAGCGAACAGGAUUAGAUACCCUGGUAGUCC
rnacentral:rRNA from 1 species